AACUAACCAUAUCAGGAUCGCCUCUCUCAUUUUCAGAUAUCUUUGUUUAACUAUAAACGAGUUUUUAUUUUAAAAUUCAUAUUGACAGCGUCAAAAUGACGCAUUGAAUAUCAAAAUGACGUGACAAAAGUUUAAAAUAAUAGGUCACAAAAAUUACAACGAAUAUAAACGAUGUCUAGACUAACAAUGAAACUAUGUUACUAAAGCAAAUUAGUAUAUUUAGUCAAUAAACCAAGCCUCAAACAUACCGCGGUGAUAGACAAGAGACUUAUAAGAAUGAUUUGGUUACUAUGGAUAUUAGCCUUUUUCUUUGAAGUUGUGCUUAUUCUAAUGUACAAUGAAGCUUUGAAAAUGGAAACUUUGUACACGUUUACGAAGAACGUUGAGCGCUUAGUACAGGAGUUGUCAGUUUAUUUCGAGCCCUGUCACUACCCAAUCGACUUGAUAGCGCGCCUCUGCACCCAUAAAACUCUUAAACAAAACUAAUUUAUUUAGUUCUGUCUAAGUGUUUUAGAUACAAUCACAUGUUUUAGGAUUGGGUUCUUUUUAACAAUGUUAAAUUUAUUUGAAUAGAAUUUCCAAUAAUAAAUCUUCAAUAAGUUACUUUUAUGCUGUUUCUGUGGCAACGCAUUUUCCAGGUAAAACCUUAAACUUUUUAUUUAAUUAACGAAUUUUCAUUUAUUUCUUUCAAUUUAUUUAAUAAUUUUUCUUUUCAGAAAUAUUAUUGAAAUCACUCGUAAUUCAAUUUGUAAAAAUAGAUGGCGCUAUUUUAAAAAUGUAUCAAAAGGCUUUUACUAAAGCUAACGGUGAUUAAAUAUUUUACGAUUUCUCGGUA